UAGGGAAUCUUCCACAAUGGACGAAAGUCUGAUGGAGCAACGCCGCGUGAGUGAAGAAGGUUUUCGGAUCGUAAAACUCUGUUGGUAGAGAAGAACGUUGGUGAGAGUGGAAAGCUCAUCAAGUGACGGUAACUACCCAGAAAGGGACGGCUAACUACGUGCCA
rnacentral:rRNA from 1 species